GGAUUGUUUCUGAGCUUGCUAAACAACGUAAUUUCUGUUUUCAAGAGUUGAGCUAUAUGGACUAGCUGGAUGUGGAAAAGCUCUUACCUUUUAUGUUGACGAAGGCAAUCUUGAGCUAUUUAUGAGUGGUAGUUAGAUCCUAUGAUUGGAAAAGGGAGAUGUUUUGUGAAUGAGUUUCUUGCUGUUUUGAAGUAAAUGAUGAAGCUGAAAAAAUGGCCGGUUGUUUGUAUCUAGAAUGAUUUUCGAGGUUAUAGUUGUGGUGGUUAGUGAAGAUGUUUUCUUUUGUAGGAUAAAUGGCGGAAUAUGAGUG
rnacentral:misc_RNA from 1 species